AUGCUCCCCUCGUCUCCCCCGUGCUGCCCACGGGCCCCGCCUCCAUCUCCCUCUCCUCUCUGUCAACUCGCACGGUGCUGGACGCCCUGCAUCACCCUCUGCACCGCUAUCCUCGCCGCCUCUGCCCCGAGAUCAUCGGUGACCUCCCGUCGUCAUCAGCCCCUCCCCGAGCACGCCACGGCCACCCUUGCCCUCCCCGUGAGCUCCUCUGCCUCUUCCCCUCGCUCCCGUGCUCAGCUUCUCGCCGUAGCCAUCAUUUUGACGAUGACCAAAUCGCGCCGCCGCCGGAGCGCCUCACCGCCAUGGCCACGGUCACCGUAG
rnacentral:rRNA from 1 species